rnacentral:tRNA from 1 species
GGGGAGAUGCCAGAGUGGUCGAAUGGGGUCGCCUGCUAAGUGACUGUGGGGCGUGAAUCGCUCCACCGUGGGUUCGAAUCCCACUCUCCCCGCCA